GAGCCGCUAGCUCAGUCGGUAGAGCAACGGACUUUUAAUCCGUAGGUCGUGGGUUCGAUCCCCGCGCGGCUCACCA
rnacentral:tRNA from 1 species